rnacentral:lncRNA from 1 species
CAAGGGACAGCAGACGUAGCCAGGAACGGAAAUCCAUAGUCAGAACAGCAAUUAACUUGCAGAGUGUCUGCCCCCGCCGGCAGCCUCCGGGGAGCUCCGGCAGAAUUCCUGGCAGCGACCAAGCAGGCGGAUGCUCUCGCAAAAGGUAUGAUACCAUCCAACCUCACACAGACACACUAUAAAAACACACAGAUACACAUACAACACGUUUUGACACACUGAGAAAGACACACAUUUACAGAGACCGAGACAGAUGCACACAAAAGUGCAGAGCUACACACACACAUACAUACAUCUACACACUCCCACAAACACACCCACAUUGCCGCCCCAGUCCGCAGCCAUAAGGUGAAGAUAAGGCAUCCCAGGUCAGAAAUAUAUUUUUAAUUAGACAGAGAAAGGAAGAAGAGUUCCUGGAGAGUAAUCACAUAAAAUAGAGUGGCACCCAUCCACUACACAGAUAUCAGACAAUCCACCACAGAUAUCAGAGCAUCCACUACACAAUCGCUCACACCAGAUAAAGACCAUCCACUACCAGAUAUCAGACCAUCCACAACACAGAUAUCAGACCAUCCACUACACAGAUAUUAGACCAUCCACUACACAGAUAUCAGACCAUCCACUACACAGAUAUCAGACCAUCCACUACACAGCUAUCAGAUCAUCCACUUAACACCCAUCAGACCAUCCACUACACACCCAUCAGACCAUCCACUACACACCCAUCAGACCAUCCACUACACACCCAUCAGACCAUCCACUACACAGCUAUCAGACCAUUUAAUUGUUAAGAAAAGCCUGCUGCUCGGCUUUUUCCAUGAGCUCAUCCUGUAGAGUCGGCCAGGGCAGGGCUUAGGGUAUAAAUGUGUGGCCAAGCCCUUCACCACUGAGCCAGAGAAGGACUGUCGUCCAUCUCUGCAAAACCAUGUAAACUGUUCUUGGUCUCAUCACAGAUCCCGUACACCAGGUCAGAGGAUAGAGUGCAGGCUUUUGCUCCAACCCUGCUCUAGUUCACCUGACUUUAGGGCUAUUUAGGGUCCUGAGG